rnacentral:rRNA from 1 species
UACGUAGGAUCCAAGCGUUGUCCGGAUUUACUGGGUGUAAAGGGUGCGCAGGCGGGCUGGUAAGUCAGGAGUGAAAUCUCGGCGCUUAACGCCGAAACUGCUUGUGAUACUGCCAGUCUUGAAUCAGCGAGAGACGUGUGGAAUUCCGAGUGUAGCAGUGAAAUGUGUAGAUAUUCGGAAGAACACCAGUGGCGAAGGCAGCACGUUGGCGCUCGAUUGACGCUCAGGCACGAAAGCAUGGGGAUCAAACAGG